AUAAUGCAUUUUGAUAAUGUAUUUUGCACUUAAUAGGCUACCGUAUAAUAUAAGCAUGACUUUUAUAUGACUGGAAAACCCCAGAAAUUCAUCUGACUCACUUUAUUGCAUGGAUCUGGAACUGAAUCCACAGUACCACUGAGAUGCCAGAAGCUGAGUACCUUUCCUCCACCAUGUUUCUGCCUUACCACACUCCUAAAAGCAACAGAACCAAGUGACCAUGGACUGAAACCUCUGAAACGAUGAGCUGAAACAAACCUCUACUCCGUUGUUUUUCUCAGCCAUGAAGUGGAAGGUUUGUUCUUUUGCAUGCUGCCACCACGAUGAACUGCCUCACCAUGGUCCUGUCCGAAAGCAGCAGGACCAACUGACCAUGAACUGAAACCUCUGAAAAUUACUGGGAAUUGAACCCAGGGCCUUGUACAUGCUGAGCAAGUACUGUGAAACAGCUACAUUCCUAGCACAUGCUUUUCAUUUAGAGACAAGAUUUCACUAACUUACCUAGACUGGCCCCAAACUUGCCAUUCUGCUGCCUGAGCCUCCUGCGUAGCCAGAAUUACAGGGGUGUGCCACUACACCUGGUGGGAACGAGGCUAAUAGAUGUGCAAAGACUGAAAACUCCAAGCAGGAACACUGAAGUAAAACUGAGGAAAGAACCGCAGGGAGGCGCUACCAGUUCUAGGGCUGGGGGACAGAGAGAAGCGCGAAGGUGAUGGAACCUGGAACUCAAAGGAAGUGUCCUACAGAGCGGUGACUUGGUCUCAGACUUCGAAGAGGGGGCAACGGGGCCAGUUCUGCGAGUUCCAAAAGCAGUCGGAGACUGGAACCAACUGAUGCUGCUGGAGCCUAAGACCCCAAGGCUCACGGUCUGAGGCAGUUUUGUCUCAUGGAGUCCCCCAGAAGAGGGGACUGGCGGACUGGGGCUGAGCUGUCAUGGGUGGACAGUCACAGACCGUGGGAACGUGGUACUGCGGAGCUGGGUGACGUGAGAUGACAGAAUGGACGGAGAAUGUUCCACUGGGCAGAGGAACAGGUUUGUAGAGGCAGUGAAUAUGGCGGUAGGCUGGGUGGGAUGCUAUAGGGUCCCUGCCCUGUGUCACUCACACUGUUCAGCUGAGUCUCGGAGCAUCAGAAAAUGUUGAAGUGUUCAAAAUUCUUAGGACAGAGGAGAAGGGAUGGAGCUGACCCACAGGGGAACCAAGAAAACCUUGACUCUAAAGCAGAAGGAGAAGCAGGGCUAUGUCAUGGGUGGACAUAGUGGGAAGGUUUUGAGCUCAUCCAGAUCCUGAAAUUUGUGUUCAGAUCAAAAUGUCACCAAGAUUUUGAGAGGAAUACAAAGGCCCAAGUAAUGACUAGCCUGUGGAUGUUUCUCUCGUAGCCUGGAAAUUAGCCUACUGCCUGGAUCACUUGGACCCAGUAGGAAAAAGAUGACACACUUGAAUUAGCAAGUCUAUCCAUUGCAUUUUUGUCUCUCCUACCCUCCCCUGCUUCCUUGGGCUUUGCACCAUGAGUUCGAGCAGCACAAGCCACCCCUCCAAAGGCAGUCAGCAGAUCCUGGCCUUCCCCACCUGCAGAAUUCUGAGCCAAAAUAAACAUCUUUCCUUUAUAAAUUAUCCAGUCUCAAGUAGCCUAUUGCAGCAACAGAAAAUAGACUAAGACAGUAGCAGAGUUAGAUUUCAAAUCCAGGCUGGACAUACUGGGAAGGGAAGGAUUUGCAUUAAUGCAUAAAACCCUGUUUUGUACCUGUAAUGAGAUAAAAUAUAUGUAUUUUAUUUAAGUAGCUUUUGGAUUAACUGAGAAUCCUUUCCUAAAUGAUUCAUAAUUAGACAACCUCACCCUGGAUCCAUCGUCGCACCACCCCUCCUGUUAGGAAAGGAGAGGUGUGCUCUUCUGUUGGAGCUCCCAUCUGAGCCCUGGAAUCCCACCUCAGGAUGUCCUGCCACCUACCAGCUCCAGGUUCCUUUGCCUUCCUUUUUCCUCCCUACUGAUGGUGUCUAACUUAAUAAAAUAAGAUGGAUCUCCCAUCCUA